rnacentral:rRNA from 1 species
AACGAACGCUGGCGGCGUGGAUAAGACAUGCAAGUCGAACGAGAGAAUUGCUAGCUUGCUAAUAAUUCUCUAGUGGCGCACGGGUGAGUAACACGUGAGUAACCUGCCCCCGAGAGCGGGAUAGCCCUGGGAAACUGGGAUUAAUACCGCAUAGUAUCGAAAGAUUAAAGCAGCAAUGCGCUUGGGGAUGGGCUCGCGGCCUAUUAGUUAGUUGGUGAGGUAACGGCUCACCAAGGCGAUGACGGGUAGCCGGUCUGAGAGGAUGUCCGGCCACACUGGAACUGAGACACGGUCCAGACACCUACGGGUGGCAGCAGUCGAGAAUCAUUCACAAUGGGGGAAACCCUGAUGGUGCGACGCCGCGUGGGGGAAUGAAGGUCUUCGGAUUGUAAACCCCUGUCAUGUGGGAGCAAAUUAAAAAGAUAGUACCACAAGAGGAAGAGACGGCUAACUCUGUGCCAGCAGCCGCGGUAAUACAGAGGUCUCAAGCGUUGUUCGGAAUCACUGGGCGUAAAGCGUGCGUAGGCUGUUUCGUAAGUCGUGUGUGAAAGGCGCGGGCUCAACCCGCGGACGGCACAUGAUACUGCGAGACUAGAGUAAUGGAGGGGGAACCGGAAUUCUCGGUGUAGCAGUGAAAUGCGUAGAUAUCGAGAGGAACACUCGUGGCGAAGGCGGGUUCCUGGACAUUAACUGACGCUGAGGCACGAAGGCCAGGGGAGCGAAAGGGAUUAGAUACCCCUGUAGUCCUGGCAGUAAACGGUGCACGCUUGGUGUGCGGGGAAUCGACCCCCCGCGUGCCGGAGCUAACGCGUUAAGCGUGCCGCCUGGGGAGUACGGUCGCAAGAUUAAAACUCAAAGAAAUAGACGGGGACCCGCACAAGCGGUGGAGUAUGUGGCUUAAUUCGAUGCAACGCGAAGAACCUUACCUGGGCUUGACAUGUAAUGAACAACAUGUGAAAGCAUGCGACUCUUCGGAGGCGUUACACAGGUGCUGCAUGGCCGUCGUCAGCUCGUGUCGUGAGAUGUUUGGUUAAGUCCAGCAACGAGCGCAACCCCUGUUGCCAGUUACCAGCACGUGAAGGUGGGGACUCUGGCGAGACUGCCCAGAUCAACUGGGAGGAAGGUGGGGAGGACGUCAGGUCAGUAUGGCCCUUAUGCCCAGGGCUGCACACGUACUACAAUGCCCAGUACAGAGGGGGCGGAAGCCGCGAGGCGGAGGAAAUCCUAAAAACUGGGCCCAGUUCGGACUGUAGGCUGCAACCCGCCUACACGAAGCCGGAAUCGCUAGUAAUGGCGCAUCAGCUACGGCGCCGUGAAUACGUUCCCGGGUCUUGCAC